rnacentral:rRNA from 1 species
CUACGUGCCAGCAGCCGCGGUAAUACGGAAGGUCCAGGCGUUAUCCGGAUUUAUUGGGUUUAAAGGGAGCGUAGGCUGGAGAUUAAGUGUGUUGUGAAAUGUAGACGCUCAACGUCUGAAUUGCAGCGCAUACUGGUUUCCUUGAGUACGCACAACGUUGGCGGAAUUCGUCGUGUAGCGGUGAAAUGCUUAGAUAUGACGAAGAACUCCGAUUGCGAAGGCAGCUGACGGGAGCGCAACUGACGCUUAAGCUCGAAGGUGCGGGUAUCAAACAGGAUUAGAUACCCUGGUAGUCCGCACAGUAAACGAUGGAUGCUCGCUGUUGGUACCUGGUAUCAGCGGCUAAGCGAAAGCAUUAAGCAUCCCACCUGGGGAGUACGCCGGCAACGGUGAAACUCAAAGGAAUUGACGGGGGCCCGCACAAGCGGAGGAACAUGUGGUUUAAUUCGAUGAUACGCGAGGAACCUUACCCGGGCUUGAAUUGCAGAGGAAGGAUUUAGAGAUA